rnacentral:rRNA from 1 species
GGGCAACAGCCCAGAUCGUCAGCUAAGGUCCCUAAAUGUAAGUUAAGUGGUAAAGGAUGUGGGAUUGCACAGACAACCAGGAUGUUGGCUUAGAAGCAGCCACUCAUUCAAAGAGUGCGUAAUAGCUCACUGGUCGAGUGAUCCUGCGCCGAAGAUUUCCGGGGCUAAAACUUACUACCGAAGCUACGGCAUCAGUAAUGAUGGGUAGGGGGGCUUCCCAUACGGGUUGAAGCAUGACCGUAAGGACAUGUGGACAGUAUGGGAGUGAGAAUGUUGGCAUGAGUAGCGAGAUGUGGGUGAGAAUCCCACAGGCCGUAAACCCAAGGUUUCCAGGGGAAGGUUCGUCCGCCCUGGGUUAGUCGGGACCUAAGCUGAGGCCGAAAGGC